rnacentral:tRNA from 2 species
AUUUUCGUAGUUUAAAAAAAACAUUACAUUUUCAUUGUAAAAAUAGAUUUAAUCUCGCAAAUA